CUCCAUCCGCCGCACUCUACACAAAUAGCAAUCCAUCUCAGUAUUAGGGAGCGUAGGCACAGCGCAAAACAAAAAACGCCCCGUACCAGCUGUACACUUGCACAACAGAAAAAGUACCCCCACUUACGCACGCACGCACAUCUACGGCGUACUUCCUGACAACACUCGAUUUGACACAACUACUAUUGCUGUUGUACCUCAUAUUAUUGGUAUUGCUUACACUCCUCUAGCUCGCUCACUCUCUCCUUUCUCCCUUCUCUUGCUUUAAGUCUGUACGCGCCUCGGUCACGGCGCAGAGCCCCUUUUGUAGAUCGGCCGCAAACACCUCCAGAACACUAGCGAUUGUGUCACGCGCAUUCGACUCCGUCGUUUCACAUUUCGCAUCGACACCUUCCCCACUACCACCACCUCGGCCCCUCAACCACAUAGACAGCCGCCCCCUUCUCUUUCUUAUUCAACAAUGACGGAGUUCAACCGCUACAACCACGAGGACAAGUCGACGUGGCUGAACGCCGUCGAGAAGCCGCAGGCGCCGCUGGAGGCCAUCAUCGACCCGUCCAUUCUCGCGGCAGACUUCUGCAAGCUCGGCGACGAGGUGGCGAGCGUCGUGUCACCGGCGGGUGGCGCAGCGGAAUGGAUUCACGUUGACGUGAUGGAUGGGCACAUGGUGCCGAACAUUAGCAUCGGCCCCGGCGUCGUCUCCUCUCUGCGCGCGCGCUUUCCGAAUGUGUUUCUUGACGUUCACUGCAUGGUGAGUGACCCUAAGCAGUGGGUCCCUUCCAUAGCCAAGGCAGGCGGCUCCGGCUAUACCUUCCACAUUGAAGCAACGAAUGACAGCAAGGAUGUUGCGGAGUACAUUCGCGCUCAUGGAAUGCAGGUCGGUGUGGCAGUGAAGCCGGCAACAAAUCUCACCCAAGAGCUGAAGGAUCUAAUUGAGGGCCACUACGUGGAUCAGGUGCUGGUCAUGACUGUGGAGCCUGGAUUUGGUGGCCAGUCUUUUAUGCAUGAGCGGCUUAGCUUCAUCUCCGAGCUGCGUCGCAACUACCCACACCUAAACAUUGGUGUUGAUGGUGGCAUUGGCCCCAGCACGGCGGAGCAGGCGGCCGACGCCGGCGCCAACAUCCUGAUCGCCGGUACGUCGGUGUUCAGGGCCGGCGACCGCAAGGCGGCCAUCGAGGAGCUGCGCGCCUCGGCGAAGAGUGGCAUCUGCAAGAACUCGAGGAUUCAAAGGGCGCUACCAGGGACGAGGUAAUCCGUAAUGUGGCGAAUUUGUUUUUUUUUUCAAGAGGACCGUUCAUGAGGGACAGAUCCGGCAGUGUCACACAAAGUUUAGCUUCUGGAGUGCGCCUUUGGUGCUUGACUGUGCAAUCGUGACAAGUACACGUGUUUGUGUCUCCAGCCAACGACCUGGUGAGGGGGAGAGUAGAGGUAGAAAGGUUGCGCGAGUUAAACAAAUGGCUACGCAUAGGAAGUGGUGGGAGAAGGGAAGCGGUCACGAGCGUCCCACCGAGUCCGCCAUCCCCACCCCUUCUCAGUCCUGUUCUUUCACCUUGUGUUGGUUCUUGCUUUUUUUUUGGUGUCACGGUAAGAAUAUCAUAUCUCUUUUACUUCUGCUCUGAACUAUGUACUUCAACUCACAGACACUCGUCACCGUCUCUCCUCCCCCACCCCACCCCACCCCCCUCGCCGUUCGCCCGGCCCCAUUUUUCUCGCGGUCUCGUCACAGUUCACUAUGCCAGCUACGCACCCUCACCUCUGUGUUCGUUUGUCACGUCCCUAUUGUUGAUGCAUCUCUCUUUUUGGCGUUUGCUUGCUUGUUUUUCAUCCUUGCCUUUCCUGUCGACGUUGAGGCGCCGUAUUGUACCAAGACAUUCGCAGGUGCGGUCAGUGUCAUCCCACUUCCACGCGCCCACCACAGGGCGGCGCAGUGACUGAAAGAGGAGGAAGUAAAGAGUAAGACGCGACUUUCCACACCGUAGCCGAUUCUUUCACGUUCUCCCUUUUCGGGCCACCACUACCCCACUCCAGACAAGAAUGCCAUCGAGGGAAAUGAUGAGUCCCCAACACAUACCCGCUAAGGCAUCACCCUCCCGCCUCAUUCUCCUGUGUGCUCUCCCCGCAUCUCUACACGACCAGAGCAGCGUUCACGGCAUCUUUCUGAUUUUGACCAACCACGAGACCAUCAGCAUUGGCAAUGGGGAACUCUAGUGGGGGAAAAAAUCGGAAUGAAGCAUAUAGGGCGAUAAGGGAAAACGUAUCCACUCCAGCCAUCCUCUGCUGUAUUUCUUUCUACGCGUGCGAGUUGGCGUGUGUCUGUGUUUGCGUCUAUGUUGUGGCGCGUCCCCCCCCCUCUCUCUCUCGACACGAUGGCAUAGUAUCUACCUGUACAAAGUCCAUUGGUGAGAAGGCAAUAUGCGCGACCCCCUUCCCCGGACACACAGGUUGACAAAUAAAAAGGAGCGCUACAGCAAAGGUGAAUCAAAAAGGGAACCUCAGCCGUAGUGGGCACUCCACCCCCUCUGCCUGUGAGUUGUGAAAAGGAACAAAAAAAUGAGGGCAAAGCGGAAGCGGCAACGGCUGACGAGGGACCGCCCUCCUCCCGAAUUGUCAACUCCUGCACUCUCUCGAUGGAAGUGUUCAUCAGUGUGGAGAACGCGAAAGGUGACGGCUCGCAACUGCAAGAUACUCACCCCUCCUCGCCCAAAUAUGGUG
rnacentral:misc_RNA from 1 species